AUGACGGGAAGGUGGAAUGCUUCAUCAUUUAUGCUUGUCUUUUAUUUGCCUUAUAUAACAAGCUUCUUAGUUUCUAAAUGUUUAUUUGGGGAAAUGUAUGAUAUGGCAACCAAUUCUUGUGUAGGUUGUGAGAAGGGAUAUUCUGGACCAAAUUGUACCAUACGUUGUCC